rnacentral:rRNA from 1 species
UACGUAGGGGGCUAGCGUUGUCCGGAAUCAUUGGGCGUAAAGAGCGUGUAGGCGGCCCGGUAAGUCCGCUGUAAAAGUCAAAGGCUCAACCUUUGAAUGUCAGUGGAUACUGCCGGGCUAGAGUCCGGAAGAGGCGAGUGGAACUCCUGGUGUAGCGGUGGAAUGCGCAGAUAUCAGGAAGAACACCAACGGCGAAGGCAGCUCGCUGGGACGGUACUGACGCUGAGACGCGAAAAGCGUGGGGAGCGAACAGG